AGCAGUCGCCACGGUAAUACGAAGGGUGCAAGCGUUAAUCGGAAUUACUGGGCGUAAAGCGUGCGUAGGCGGUGGUUUAAGUCCGUUGUGAAAGCCCUGGGCUCAACCUGGGAAUUGCAGUGGAUACUGGCUCGCUAGAGUGUGUCAGAGGAUGGUGGAAUUCCCGGUGUAGCGGUGAAAUGCGUAGAGAUCGGGAGGAACAUCAGUGGCGAAGGCGGCCAUCUGGGACAACACUGACGCUGAGGCACGAAAGCGUGGGGAGCAAACAGGAUUAGAUACCCCCGUAGUCCCUGUCUCUUAUAC
rnacentral:rRNA from 1 species